GGAGAGCAGGGCAAGCUGGAACUUGGUCCCUCAAAGUAGGGAGGCACUUUCUCCAAUCUCCUGAACUCUGAAAGAGACCAGGACGGGGGCAGGUGCUGGGGUCUUUAGUGGCAGACCUCUGUCUGGCAGGGCCAUGGAGGAAGGUGAAAUAUCCAGGCUGGACCCGAGCAUGCCACGCUCCAAUAUGCAUAGGACUGAACUGGGGCCGAUAGCUAGGAAGACCUGGAGACUCCUGCCUGCACUUACACCCUGAGACCCGCUUGGAGGGCUGCGGGAAGUAGGAGACCUGUCCUAACUGGCCUUCAUUCCCAGUUGUGACUUCCCUCCUGAAAAAGGUUUUCUUGCUCAACUGACAAUAACAGAGAAGGAAACAAAAACAAACCGAAACGCAGCCUGAGGACUAAGCCAAUAAUAUCACAGACCAAGAGAGAUGCUGAGAGACCAGGUUGGUACUGAGUCACGUUGGCACAGCCAGCUCCGGACGAAGACAGAUGGGGCCUACGCGACCAGACAACCCGGGCUAUUACUCAGCAUUUCCAACCAGACGAUGACCGAAGAACAGAGAGGGCUGAAAGGCCAGGGGCAGGUCCUAGGGUAGAGGGGGAUGGUAGGGAGAGGCUUCACUGGGAGACAGCGUAGUUAGGGUGGUGAUGAUGGAGACAUGAUGGUAAUGAAGUGCUGAUGGUGGUGACGAUGGUAUUGACAGUAAUGAAGAUGGCGGUGAUGGGGUGAUGGUUGGUAAUGAUGGUAGUGGUAGUUUGGUGUUGGUGAUGGGUCUGAAAUAUUACUUGAUCACUGACUAUCAGCAGGCUCUGCAUAUGUUCUCCUGGGCAUUAUCCCCAUAAUUCUUAAUAUUUUCUUCUUGAAUUCACUAAAGAAAACCAUGUUAGUCA